rnacentral:rRNA from 1 species
AUUGAACGCUGGCGGCAUGCCUUACACAUGCAAGUCGAACGGCAGCACGGGAGCAAUCCUGGUGGCGAGUGGCGAACGGGUGAGUAAUAUAUCGGAACGUGCCCAGUCGUGGGGGAUAACGUAGCGAAAGCUACGCUAAUACCGCAUACGAUCUAUGGAUGAAAGCGGGGGACCUUCGGGCCUCGCGCGAUUGGAGCGGCCGAUGUCAGAGUAGGUAGUUGGUGGGGUAAAGGCUCACCAAGCCAACGAUCUGUAGCUGGUCUGAGAGGACGACCAGCCACACUGGGACUGAGACACGGCCCAGACUCCUACGGGAGGCAGCAGUGGGGAAUUUUGGACAAUGGGCGCAAGCCUGAUCCAGCAAUGCCGCGUGCAGGAAGAAGGCCUUCGGGUUGUAAACUGCUUUUGUACGGAGCGAAAAGGCUCCCUCUAAUACAGGGGGCUCAUGACGGUACCGUAAGAAUAAGCACCGGCUAACUACGUGCCAGCAGCCGCCGUAAGAC